AGUCUUGUCCCCUUCAGGCUGAGCAGCCCCAGCUCCCUCAGCCUAUCCUCUUAGAAGUGCUCCAGCCCUUGGCUCAUCCUCGUGGUCCUGCUCUGAACUGGUUCCAGCAGUUUUUCGUUCUUCAGCUGGACUGUGGCCAUGUGGAAUGUUUUGGGUUGUGCUUUUGCCUUUGCAUGCUGAAAGACUUCCUGUGUUACCUUAGUACGAGCUGACCAUCCGUACUACCGUCGCCUUGAAUGCCUCCAACCAGCAGUGUUUGCUGCCAGACAGACACCUUGAGAAGACAGAGGACAUGGUUAAGUUCAUGAAGGAUAUCUUGGAUGGUGCUGCUGAAGCACAGGCUGGUGAUGGACUUCUGCAACGAAGCAAGAGAGUCAUCUAUGAGGCCAAGGCUGCUGUAAUGGUAGAGUUCAUUGCUUAUUCAGUGAGGUGAUGCUCUUGUCAGUCAAGAAGGACUUAGUUGCAGAGGCUUUGGAAAUGCUUUGAUGUAAGCUUGUUGCCAUGCUGUGCCUAGUGUAUCUAUUGUCACUAUUUAGAACUAGGCUUAAACCAAAUGAACUUCUUGAUUAAAACAGCCAAUCAUGUCUGCCACA